rnacentral:rRNA from 1 species
UGCCAGCCGCCGCGGUAAUACGAAGGGGGCUAGCGUUGUUCGGAUUUACUGGGCGUAAAGAGCACGUAGGCGGUUUGUAUAGUCAGAGGUGAAAGGCCGGGGCUCAACCCCGGAACUGCCUUUGAUACUGACAAACUAGAGUCCGAGAGAGGGUGGUGGAACUCCAAGUGUAGAGGUGAAAUUCGUAGAUAUUUGGAAGAACACCAGUGGCGAAGGCGGCCACCUGGCUCGGUACUGACGCUGAGGUGCGAAAGCGUGGGGAGCAAACAGGAUUAGAUA